UACGUAGGGUGCAAGCGUUGUCCGGAAUUAUUGGGCGUAAAGAGCUCGUAGGCGGUUUGUCGCGUCUGCUGUGAAAACUCGGGGCUUAACCCUGGGCCUGCAGUGGGUACGGGCAGACUAGAGUGCGGUAGGGGAGACUGGAAUUCCUGGUGUAGCGGUGAAAUGCGCAGAUAUCAGGAGGAACACCGGUGGCGAAGGCGGGUCUCUGGGCAGUAACUGACGCUGAGGAGCGAAAGCGUGGGGAGCGAACAGA
rnacentral:rRNA from 1 species